AUAUCUACACAGUAAAAAUGCCAGUGUUAAAAUCUCAGGUGUAGUGUUAAAUAAAGAGUGUGAGUGUUGUUUUGACACCACACAGCUUUAAAAUAACACUGCAAGUGUAAACUCCGUAAUAUUUGCGUUGUUAAAUUCCAGUGUUAAUUGGUUGGUGUUGCUUAAGCCCCGCCUUCGCGUAACGGCUGCAGAGCACGUUCUACCUUCUGUCGUCACGCCACCAGCCAGUCGGUCGGUACGGCUUCAUUUCGCCCACGGAAGACACAAUUCUUUCCUAAAGGUGAGCUAAAUAUUCAUACAUGACCAUUGUUUCGUUGGAAAUGUGCUUUUUAGUUUGAGACUUCAAAGAGUGCACGAUAUUCAACCCAUUUUGCAUGGAAAAUCCACCAAAUUCAAGGUCCCGCCGUUUUGCCAAAUCUAGGCGAACGGUAAAUUUGAAUUCUGUUAUAUUUGGUAAGUUCUAGUUGUCAUUUUAAACCAUGGAUAAUACUUGUAUUUCUGUAUUAUUUGAAAUAUUGGCGAUGUGUGUAUCUAAAAAGCUAACUUUGCAAACGGUAGCAGAUUCUGACUAGCUAGCUAGCUCAACACUCUAGCUUGGAUGAAGUGUAUAUAGUUGACAGAGCUGACGUGUUCAAAGUGAUAGUGGAAGUGAUAAAGGGUUGGUUUAAAAUAUCUGUAAGGUGGCAAAGCUUGGACCGUGUCCCUUUUUUGUUAUGCAGAAAUGCUGGUUCAAGUGGAGUAUCAGACCGUCCAGAAAUGGGUUCGGGUUCCAGUGACGGAUGACUGCUAUGAUUACUUGAAAUUCAUGCUCGAGGUUCAUGUUAAAUUCAAUUUGGCAAGUGAAAUCUGUGUAGACCUGAAGGAAUCUUCUGGAGUUGAUGUGGAUGCUGAUAUUUUUGAUGAACUCCUGAGGUCUGCUACAGUGUCUUUCAAAGUAGUAACUAACACUUUGUGGGCGCCGUUGACGAGAGUGAGGUAACAGACGCUUCCUUCAGUUCUGAAGAUGGGUUAGCCUCGUCAGUUCAAUCUCCAAGCUCAGCGAUCUCAUCUUCUACAGUGAUCACAGAGAACACCAAAGCACAGAGAUAACGACUGGCUGAAGGACCACCUGACGGCAAGAUGGCA